AUUGAACGCUGGCGGCAGGCCUAACACAUGCAAGUCGAGCGAGCGGCGGACGGGGGAGGAAUGUCUGGGAAAACGCCUGAUGGAGGGGGAGAACAACUGGAAACGGUAGCUAAUACCGCACACCAUAAGAUGUGACCAGAUGGGAUUAGCUAGGAGGUGGGGUAACGGCUCACCUAGGCGACGAACCCUAGCUGGUCUGAGAGGAUGACCAGCCACACUGGAACUGAUAAGCGGUCCAGACUCUUACGGGAGGCAGCAGUGGGGAAUAGUGCGCAAUGGGCGCAAGCCUGAUGCAGCCAUGCCGCGUGUGUGAAGCAGGCCUUCGGGUUGUAAAGCCCUUUCAGCGGGGAGGCGUUACCCGCAGAAGAAGCACCGGCUAACUCCGUGCCAGCAGCCGCGGUAAUAC
rnacentral:rRNA from 1 species